UGGGGAAUAUUGCGCAAUGGCCGCAAGGCUGACGCAGCGACGCCGCGUGUGGGAUGACGGCCUUCGGGUUGUAAACCACUGUCGGGAGGGACGAAUACUCGGCUUCGAAUAGGAGCCCGAGGGUGACGGUACCUCCAAAGGAAGCACCGGCUAACUCCGUGCCAGCAGCCGCGGUAAUACGGAGGGUGCGAGCGUUGUCCGGAAUCACUGGGCGUAAAGGGCGCGUAGGUGGCUCGUUAAGUUGCCGGUGAAAUCCCGGGGCUCAACUCCGGGGCUGCCGGUAAGACUGGCGGGCUCGAGCACGGUAGAGGCAGAUGGAAUUCCCGGUGUAGCGGUGGAAUGCGUAGAGAUCGGGAAGAACACCAGUGGCGAAGGCGUUCUGCUGGGCCGUUGCUGACACUGAGGCGCGACAGCGUGGGGAGCAAACAGGAUUAGAUACCCCCGUAGUCC
rnacentral:rRNA from 1 species